UUAAGAAGACAAGUUUUGGAAUUUUGAAACUGUGUGACUUUAAUCUUAAGGUAUGUGAGUCUAACAACCUUGGUAUUCCCUGUACAAAGUGUACUCCAUCAAGCAGCUGUAAAUCUUGUGAUGGAUUACAUUACGGGGUCUGGUGUGAACAACAGUGUUCUUCCGGAUGUGUACCUGGAUCAUGUGAUGAGCUGACAGGAGAGUGUUCGAGAUGUAAAGAUGGGUUCCAUGGAAAGCAAUGCCAAUUUUCUAAAAAUUGUACAUGUAGAAAUUGUUCCUCAGCAUGUACCGAAUGUAACAUUUUGAAUAAAAAAUGUACCCGAUGUAAAAAGUCCAGAUAUGGUCAAUUUUGCCAGUAUGUUUGUCAUGUUGAUUGCGAAAGCUGUGAAAUAAACAAUGGCACAUGUCUUAAGUGUAAUGUCGGCCAUUCUGGAGAAA